GAANCUAACGCGUGAAGUUGACCGCCUGGGGAGGACGGCCGCAAGGUUGAAACUCAAAGGAAUUGACGGGGACCCGCACAAGCCGGGGAUGAUGUGGUUUAAUUCGAUGCAACCGAAAAACCUUACCCACCUUUGACAUGCCAGGAAGUUUCCAGAGAUGAAUUCGUGCUCCAAAGAGAACCUGCACACAGGUGCUGCAUGGUUGUCGUCAGCUCGUGUCGUGAGAUGUUGGUUUAAGUCCCGCAACGAGCGCNACCCUUGUCAUUAGUUGCUACNUUUAGUUGGGCACUCUAAUGAGACUGCCGGCGACAAACCGGAG
rnacentral:rRNA from 1 species